CAGGAUUACUUGCUUCCCUGCAAGGCUGGUUUCUUGGAGUUCCUAGAACAUUCCAGCAAGGCUGAAAUGCUCUUUGACUUUCAGCGGUGACAGGUGUUCACUCUGUGUCCUUGUAGUCCCUGGCUCCCAGGGGUGCUGUGUGCUGGCUUCCCCCGGCAGGUGCCAGGCCUGCUGGUGGUCACAGGAUGGCCCAGGAAGCUGCCUUCCUGAAGCGGCAUCAGAAGGGCCUUGGGUGGGAAGCUGGCUGCUGGGCUUGAGACAACCCUGGCCCUAGAGAGUGUGGCAAGGCUGGGGCUCUGUCAGCAGCUCACCGAGGGUCUCCCCUCUUUCAGAAGCUCCAGGACCCCUUUGUCUGAACAGCCCCGUUACAGGAAAAAGCUAAGCCUGUGCGAUGUCCCUUGGUGUCAGGGGACAGGACAGAAAGCAAAGACCCGGAGGGUAGAUACGGAGUCCCGCGUGCCAGCCACUCAGGUUCCCACAACAGUCCCAUCUUCCUGAAGCCCUGCUGCUGCGUGCUGUGGA